AAACUUUCAACAACGGAUCUCUUGGUUCUGGCAUCGAUGAAGAACGCAGCGAAAUGCGAUAAGUAAUGUGAAUUGCAGAAUUCAGCGAAUCAUCGAAUCUUUGAACGCACAUUGCGCCCGCCAGCAUUCUGGCGGGCAUGCCUGUUCGAGCGUCAUUU
rnacentral:rRNA from 1 species